CUUUGCGUGGGUCGUUACGCGAAUCGCUUUUUUAUGAAAAUACGCGCAUUUAGUAUCCCAGCUCAGAUUUGCAUUGGGCGACGUUAUGACAGUUACGGGGGUGGUGUGAUAAGUACAACUCUGUAUGUGGGAAGUUAAUUUUCACACCAAUUAAUGUGUUAUUUAUUGGUAUAUCUAUGACGGUUUUGGGAAACCAACUAUGAACUAGAUCGAUGUGAGAGAUAUUCUUCGCGAGGACUAACAAUGGAAAUCAAUAUUUUUCUGGCAUUCCUUCUGAUGGUUGAUCUGCACAUACUCGCGUUGCUGACGCGAAGGCUUGGGAUUUUUUGGGAGACACAAAGAAGUCGGUCACCGGAGCCCGUC